GUUAUUUAAUCUUCAGGCAGCUUCGUGGUAUAUCAUGGUGUUGUUAUUCCUGCAUAAAAGGCCUUUGGAUUCUCUUAUGAUUAACAAAGUUGUAUCGUUACGUAAUGGUAUUGCAGUACUGUAGCUGUAGCAUCAUUGCUUCCUUAUAGUUUUAGUACUUUUAAACAUUACCCAGAUAGCAAGACGACAUUGAAUCUAUGUUGAUUUUUCAUCCGAACCGUCGUAUAUGGUCGGGGUUGAAAUGCCAAUGUUGUAACAACAUUGAAAUACUGUGGUAAACCGACGGUCUUACUAUAGAGACGUUGUAACGAUGUUGAUUCACCGUUGUUUUUUUGUCAUUGAUAUUUGAUCUAUUUAUAGUCGACCAGGUGACAACAACAACGUCAAGAAAACGUCUAUUUAUAGUUGACGAUCAUUCGGCUCCGGUCACCAUCAAAAACCAUCGAUUUGUAGUUGAGCAUUAAAUUGCACUGCAACUGAUCGGGUUUAAAGUACCAGAGAAAGUAGAUUUAUUGUUCAUUUGUUAUCAAUGACUUGGUCUAGUUCACCAGCUUUAAAAAAUCGUGUCUACGUGCAAUUUAUCUAUAGUUGACCGGGAAAUUAAAGCAGCGAUCACUUGGACUAUUCCGCAGCACCCCUCUCACAUUGGUACAUCCCCCCAGGUAUUCAUUGUCUUCUACAGUCGAGCGGGACAUUUGAUUUACUCUCAGCGGAAUUGACCGGAGAAGGCAUCAGUUCAUGCACUGCACUGGCCUGCACCACGAUUAGUAUAAGGCACAUUUCACGAAGCAGAACGCAGUCUUCAGAGAUAUCCACGUGAACGCUGUGAUACGUCUGACCUUCAGUCCGAAGAAGAAACCCAGACCAGUCUUAAAAGAAAGCACAAACCAAAUCCCCUGUACACAUAUACGGACUCAGAGGAUGAGCAGCCUACAAAAAACCGUUUUCCCCAGGCCCCUCGAGUGAAAAUACCAGCCCUCAUCACUCCGCAGUCUGCCCCCCAGCCCACUGAUAGCAACCAUCAUAAUGCCCCACCCAGCUUCCGGCACCUUUCGCUACUCCGGCACAAACCGACACAGCUUUGCGAUCUCGCCAGCAUGCAGAGUCUGAUGUCUUCCCUAUAG
rnacentral:lncRNA from 1 species